rnacentral:rRNA from 1 species
GAUGAACGCUGGCGGCGUGCCUAAUACAUGCCAGUCGAGCGAACAGACGAGGAGCUUGCUCCUUCGACGUUAGCGGCGGACGGGUGAGUAACACGUAGGGAACCUAACUAUAAGACUGGGCUAACUUCGGGAAACCGGAGCUAAUACCGGAUAAUAUUUCGAACCGCAUGGUUCGAUAGUGAAAGAUGGCUUUGCUAUCACUUAUAGAUGGACCUGCGCCGUAUUAGCUAGUUGGUAAGGUAACGGCUUACCAAGGCAACGAUACGUAGCCGACCUGAGAGGGUGAUCGGCCACACUGGAACUGAGACACGGUACAGACUCCUACGGGAGGCAGAAGUAGGGACUCUUCCGCAAUGGGCGAAAGCCUGACGGAGCAACGCCGCGUGAGUGAUGAAGGUCUUCGGAUCGUAAAACUCUGUUAUUAGGGAAGAACAAACGCGUAAGUAACUGUGCACGUCUUGACGGUACCUAAUCAGAAAGCCACGGCUAACUACGUG